rnacentral:rRNA from 1 species
CCUACGGGAGGCUGCAGUGAGGAAUAUUGGUCAAUGGACGAGAGUCUGAACCAGCCAAGUAGCGUGAAGGAUGACUGCCCUAUGGGUUGUAAACUUCUUUUAUAUGGGAAUAAAACGUUCCACGUGUGGGAUUUUGUAUGUACCAUAUGAAUAAGGAUCGGCUAACUCCGUGCCAGCAGCCGCGGUAAUACGGAGGAUCCGAGCGUUAUCCGGAUUUAUUGGGUUUAAAGGGAGCGUAGGUGGAUUGUUAAGUCAGUUGUGAAAGUUUGCGGCUCAACCGUAAAAUUGCAGUUGAAACUGGCAGUCUUGAGUACAGUAGAGGUGGGCGGAAGUCGUGGUGUAGCGGUGAAAUGCUUAGAUAUCACGAAGAACUCCGAUUGCGAAGGCAGUUCACUGGACUGCAACUGACACUGAGGCUCGAAAGUGUGGGUAUCAAACAGGAGUAGAUACCCGAGUAGUC